GAUGAACGCUGGCGGCGUGCCUAAUACAUGCAAGUCGAGCGAACGGGCGAGAAGCUUGCUUUUCUGAUGUUAGCGGCGGACGGGUGAGUAACACGUGGAUAACCUACCUAUAAGACUGGGAUCACUUCGGGAAACCGGAGCUAAUACCGGAUAAUAUUUUGAACCGCAUGGUUCAAAAGUGAAAUACGGUCUUGCUGUCUCGUCUAGAUGGAUCCGCGCUUGAUUAGCUAGUUGGUAAGGUCACCGCUUACCAAGGCAACGAUGCGUAGACGAAGUGAGAGACUGGUAGGCCACACUGGAAGUGAGACACGGUCCAGACUACUACGGGAGGCAGCAGAAGGGAAUGUGACGCAAUGGGCGAAGGCAUGACGGAGCAACGGGGCGUGAGUGAUGGAGGCGUUGGGUUCGUAAAAAUCUGUUAUUAGGGAAGAACAUAUGUGUAAGUAAACGUGGAGAGCUUGACGGUAACUAAUAAGAAAGCAACGGCUAACUACGUG
rnacentral:rRNA from 1 species